rnacentral:hammerhead_ribozyme from 1 species
AUCCAGCUGACGAGCUCCAAAGAGGACGAGACGCGCGUCCUGGAU